AUUAAGCCAUGCAUGUCUAAGUACAAACCGAUUAAAUGGUGAAACCGCGAAUGGCUCAUUAAAUCAGUCGUAAUCUACAGGAUAUCGAUCCCACCUCGUUGGAUAACUGUGGUAAUUCUAGAGCUAAUACAUGCACCGAAGCUCCGGUCCUCGCUUCGGCGAGGGAAGGGCGCAUUUAUUAGACCCAAAAACCGAUCCAAAGCUCGCCUCGCGCGAACGGUACUGGGGACUCCGAAUAACUUCGCCGAGCGCUUCGGUCUCACGACCGGCGCCGUAUCCUUCGAGCGUCUGCCUUAUCAGCUCUAUCGUAAGGUAUUGGCUUACGACGGCUGUAACGGGUAACGGGGAAUCAGGGUUCGAUUCCGGAGAGGGAGCCUGAGAAACGGCUACCACAUCUAAGGAAGGCAGCAGGCGCGCAAAUUACCCAAUCCCGGCACGGGGAGGUAGUGACGAAAAAUACCGGUGCGGGUCUCCGACGAGGCCUCGCCAUCGGAUUGAGUUUAAACUAAAACCUUGGACGAGCGUCCAUUGGAGGGCAAGUCUGGUGCCAGCAGCCGCGGUAAUUCCAGCUCCGAUAGCGUAUAUUAAAGUUGCUGCGGUUAAAAAGCUCGUAGCUGGACUUCGCGUCCGGACUGACGGCCCGCCGAGGGUGGGACCGUCGACGACGUUUAGUGCGUCCUCAUGCAGGGCGCGCGCGUUCGUCGCGGUCUUCUCCCCCCGUGCGGACAACCUAGUCAAACCCGGUUCGCCGAAAUCCGCCGGCGCGCGAGGGGUGCCUACGGUGACCCUAGCGUCCGGCAUUUUCACUUUGAAUAAAUAAGAGUGCUCAAAGCGGGCGCAAAAGUUUAACGCCAAAACGAAAGUGCAUUGAACGAAGAAAUAAGACCUCGACCCCGCCGUUGUUUCGAUCGGUUUCAGGGGGCCGAGGUAACGAUUAAGAGAAGCGGCCGGAGGCAUACGUAUUGCGACGCUAGAGGUGAAAUUCGUUGACCGUCGCAAGACGAACCGAGGCGAAGGCGUUUGUCAAGAACGUUUUCAUUAGUCAAGAACGAAAGUCAGAGGAUCGAAGGCGAUCAGAUACCGCCCUAGUUCUGACCGUAAACUUUGCUACCUGACGAUCCGUCGACGUCGUACCCUAGACUCGGCGGGAAGUCUCCGGGAAACCUAAGGUUUCGAGCUCCGGGGGAAGUAUGGUUGCAAAAGUGAAACUUAAAGGAAUUGACGGAAGGGCACCACCAGGAGUGGAGCCUGCGGCUUAAUUCGACUCAACACGGGGAAACUUAUCAGGACCGGACGCUGAAAGGAUUGACAGAUUGAGAGCUUUUUCUCGAUUUAGCGGGAGGUGGUGCAUGGCCGUUUCAAGUUGGUGGUGCGAAUUGUCUGGUUGAUUCCGGUAACGAGCGAGACUCUGCCUUGCUAAUUAGUCGGCGAAUCGGCUCUGAGAGUCGAGCGCGAGCCAGUUUCGCGAGCGUCGUUCUUUUUCGGCUGGCGUGUGGGGGCGGGUGACGGUGGCGGCGCGUCGUCGUCUCGCUCGCGACUCCUUCGUAGGGGUUCGUGGGUGGGGCAAUGCGCGCGCGUCGUCGCGUAACGUCCUCGUCUCUUCGCGUCGUUCAAGUCGGAGCGUACAGGAGCGGCGUUUUGGACGGUUCGUCGUCUCGUCUAGGAGCGUUCGUCGCAAUAAAGUCUUCUUAGAGGAAUCGGCGGCGUUUAGCCGCACGAAAAUGAGCCAAAACAGGUCUGUGAUGCCCUUAGAUGUUCCGGGCCGCACGCGCGCUACAAUGGUAGGUUCAACGUGCUUCGUCCUCCUCCGAAAGGAGAGGGUAAUCACCGUAAGGCCAUUAGACUUCGGUAGGGAUUGGGGCUUGCAAAUAUCCCCCACGAACGAGGAAUUCCCAGUAGACGCGAGUCCUCAGCCCGCGUCGAUUGAGUUUCUGCCCUUUGUACACACCGCCCGUCGCUACUACCGAUUGAGUGAUCGAGUGAGGACCUCGGACUGGCGCCCAGGGCCGAUCGACCUUCUCGUUUCGGCGAGAGGCCGUCGCCUANGGCUGACGGAAUGACGUCCCAGCUCGGAUAUUUAGAGGAAGUAAAAGUCGUAACAAGGUUUCCGUAG
rnacentral:rRNA from 1 species